rnacentral:rRNA from 1 species
GAUGAACGCUGGCGGCGUGCCUAAUACAUGCAAGUCGAGCGAACAGACGAGGAGCUUGCUCCUCUGACGUUAGCGGCGGACGGGUGAGUAACACGUGGAUAACCUACCUAUAAGACUGGGAUAACUUCGGGAAACCGGAGCUAAUACCGGAGAAUAUAUUGAACCGCAUGGUUCAAUAGUGAAAGACGGUUUUGCUGUCACUUAUAGAUGGAUCCGCGCCGCAUUAGCUAGUUGGUAAGGUAACGGCUUACCAAGGCAACGAUGCGUAGCCGACCUGAGAGGGUGAUAGGCCACACUGGAGCUGAGACACGGUCCAGACUCCUGCGGGAGGCAGCAGUAGGGAAUCUUCCGCAAUGGGCGAAAGCAUGACGGAGCAACGCCGCGUGAGUGAUGAAGGUCUUCGGAUCGUAAAACUCUGUUAUUAGGGAAGAACAAAUGUGUAAGUAACUAUGCACGUCUUGACGGUACCUAAUCAGAAAGCCACGGCUAACUACGUG